UAUCGUGAUGGUAAAUUUACAGCGAUAGUAGUGCUAAGAUCGCUUCGUGGAACGGGCUGGCGAUCGUAGACAAACAUUAAGGUCGUGAUGGUAGGUAUUACAGCGAUAGUAGUGCUAAGAUCGCUUCGUGGAACGGGGCCCAGUAACACAUUUGAAUAAAGUUUGUAUGAAACAAGAGUGUGACAUUGAAACAGGGAAAAUACCCUGAAACAUAGACUAAAAUUUGACUCCAUAACCUUUACUUCUCAGACACAUGUGCAUUUAAAAAAAACAAAAAAACAAAACAUUUUGUGGUAUUAGAAACACCAGGAUGACCAGAAACAUUUCAGUUGUACGGAAAUGGAUAACCUAAACAAUGUAGGCCUAUUAUCUAAGUAAUGUUUGAUUAUAUGAUCAUAAACAGUUCUAAUAGUAAAAAAUAUGCCUUAGUGUUUAAAAACUAGGGUCUGUCACUUUAAAGAAAUGUGGUCAUCUUACAACACUUCUGCGUGGAACUUGUUUUCUGAUUUUACAUUCACUUCUGUACACCCACACAGCUUUAGUAAAGUCUCCAGAUUUUAACUACAUUCUAUUUGUAAGACUGUAUUAAAGCAGUUUGUCUAGCUUUUAAAAAAUUGUUAAAUGUGGGGCCUAUUUGGAUGUCUGGGCUUUAAAAAUAUGUUCUCUUUAUUUAAAGACCAUAAAAAUAAAAGUGUACCAUAUGUAAGAGUUUUUUUGGGGAAAAAAUUCUUUUUAUUUUUUUAUUAAUUUUGUUUUUGGCAAGGCAGCUUGAUGUAUGUUUAGCAAGGUUGUAUUUGAUUAUUCCAUCCAAAUAUUUAUUACUGAAAAGAUGUAUUUGAUCAUUGCUUUUGUGUACAAAGGUGUAUUAAGAGUGAUAGUAACUGUGAUAAUUUACGAGUAAUAAAACAUGUUACAUUAUUUCAUCUACAUCGCAGGGCUCGACCAUAACGGUAGCCCGGGCUGUUUUGGCUACCAAUAUCUCCCCCGGGAUACCAGAAUUCUAAGCCCGGUAGUCCGCCAGGCUACCACUUUUUUUCUGCCUGUUAAGUGACUACAGUUUUCACGACGCUUCGAUGAUCGGGGCUCACACUAGAAAUAAGUUAGUUUUAGCCAUUGUUAAAUAUCUACAUGUAUAGAGUAUUCCUUGAAAAUUAUUGAAAAGUGGCACAUUUUGGCUAAACAAAAUUGUAUUAGCCAAAACUUAUGUUGCAGCCACGUUAUAUACUGAUGUAUCAUUUGGCUAAGUUGGUUAUGGGCAGGGUGAGCCUUGCUCAGUGUUAACAGAGUGAACAAGUCUAUAGUCCGUCCCAUCCUCCUACAAAAAUUAUUUUAGUUUGGUUUGACAUAAGAACAAAGUAAAAGUAUUUUGGAAAUAACAAAAAAAAAAAUUGUGUGCAAGUUACAAAACAAUUAGCUGAGAAAUAACUAACUUGUAGUAUGAAAAAAGGCAUUCUCUGUGGGAUGGACUAUAGAAUAUGACAUUUGUUUUUUAACCAUUGUAUACCGUGUAGAUUUACACACAUCAUCAAAUGGUAAAGCUUGCAUUCAUUAUUUUACAGUCUGUUGUCAAACCAUAUGUUAAUUGUCGACUUUUAGAUGUUGUAUCUCAUAACCGAUACCAGCUAGAAUUUUGUAUUCUGUUUUGCAAUUUGUUGUGGAUUAUCCUGACAGGGUUUAAAACAUUAUUUUCUAAGAAGGAAUGUAGGAAUGUUUAAUGACACCCCAACACAGAAAAAUAAUUGGCUACUGGGUGUCAAAGUUGUCAGGAAUGGAAUAUGUCAUUCACCUAAUACAAAUGCAAAUUUAAGUUAUUUAUUUACCAAAAAGCUGAAUUAAAUUUAAAAUAAGAUAAAUGUAUUAAUGUAUCCCCCAUUGUUAAGUUAAAAGCUGAGAACUUCCAACUGAUUGCUCUUAGAAUUCAUUUGGAACACCUCAGCCUCUGAUACAUUUAAACAUUUAUUUGAGAUACUGUAAAUCAUAAAAUAUUAGCGAUCUUAAAAUUUAACGAAAUCCAAAUAAGUGAUAUUAACAACAUAAAAUGUUAGCUAGAUCGUCAUAUCAGAAACUGAAAAAAGAAAACGCUCAAGCUGUAGGAUCAGGUUAAAUAAUACUGUUGAUCUAUUUUAACGUUAUGCAGCUUACAGACAGCUGAAUUGAAGUAGUAAAUUGCAGAAUGUGCAUGCUAAUUAACUAUUGUUUGCUAUCCAUUGUUGUGUGUUCAGUUACAUGUAAUUGCCAGCAAUUUAAACAAACAUCUUUUGGAACAGUCUGUUGUACGUCUCUUUAAAUUUAGCGUCACGAAAUAUUAGCGUCUUGUAUGGCCUCUCUAAAUUCGCUAAAGUUUUGUGCUUGCUAACAUUUCCUGAUUUACAGUAUCAGAUAUAUGGAAACACAUUUCUUUAUACAUGUAUAUCUUUAUUGUUAUAUUUUAUUUGACCAAUUGAAAUCUGAAUUUGGCUAAAGAUUUUUUUACCACGUUCACCAUUUAGCCAAUAGGUUUUGUGCCCCAACUGGAACAUUGCACGUGCUGUCAAAAUGAUGUUUACAAAUUAUUUUGACCUUCUUGCUUAAUCCCUCCACCACAAUGGCAAAUAGAAUAGUACUGCUGGAUUCAAAAUGCAAAAUUGUGUGAUUUGUUUGUUUGUUAAAUAUUCUUUUUUGCAGUUGUGAAAUAUUUUUAAUUUUGUGUGCAUGAACCAUUUGUUGUGUCCUAACCUAUACAAUCUUCUGCAGAGUAUGAAUUUGUAAUCACCACUGUCCAUUUUAUUUAUUGUACCUUUUUAUAGCAGCGAAUAAAUAUUUUUAUGACAAAGA
rnacentral:lncRNA from 1 species